rnacentral:misc_RNA from 1 species
AACGGUCUAUACCUGCGGUACCUGCGGAAGGAUCAUUACCGAGUUAUCAACUCCCAAACCCCUGUGAACAUACCCGAACGUUGCCUCGGCGGGACCGCCCCGGCGCCCCUAGCGGCCCGGAACCAGGCGCCCGCCGGAGGACCCAAACUCUUGCUUUAAACAGUGGCAUACUCUCUGAGUCCCACAAACAAAAAAUAAAUCAAAACUUUCAACAAUGGAUCUCUAGAUCGGAAGAGCACA